rnacentral:rRNA from 1 species
UAGGGAAUAUUCCACAAUGAGCGAAAGCUUGAUGGAGCGACACAGCGUGCACGAUGAAGGUCUUCGGAUUGUAAAGUGCUGUUAUAAGGGAAGAACAUUUGCAAUAGGAAAUGAUUGCAGACUGACGGUACCUAACCAGAAAGCCACGGCUAACUACGUGCCAGCAGCCGCGGUAAUACGUAGGUGGCAAGCGUUGUCCGGAAUUAUUGGGCGUAAAGCGCGCGCAGGUGGUUUAGAAAGUCUGAUGUGAAAGCCCACGGCUCAACCGUGGAGGGUCAUUGGAAACUAAUAAACUUGAGUGCAGGAGAGAAAAGUGGAAUUCCUAGUGUAGCGGUGAAAUGCGUAGAGAUUAGGAGGAACACCGGUGGCGAAAGCGGCUUUUUGGCCUGCAACUGACACUGAGGCGCGAAAGCGUGGGGAGCAAACGGG